rnacentral:rRNA from 1 species
CCCUACGGGGUGCAGCAUGCGCGAAAACUUUACAAUGCGAGCAAUCGUGAUAAGGGAACUCCGAGUGCCUGUAAAAUCAGGCUGUCCGCCAGUUUAAAUAACUGGUGAAGAAAGGGCCGGGCAAGACCGGUGCCAGCCGCCGCGGUAAUACCGGCGGCUCGAGUGGUGGCCACUAUUACUGGGCUUAAAGCGUUCGUAGCCGGUCUGUUAAGUCUCUGGGGAAAUCUUCCGGCUUAACCGGAAGGCGUCUCAGGGAUACUGGCAGACUAGGGACCGGAAGAGGUGAGAGGUACUCCAGGGGUAGGAGUGAAAUCCUGUAAUCCUUGGGGGACCACCUGUGGCGAAGGCGUCUCACCAGGACGGCUCCGACAGUGAGGAACGAAAGCUGGGGGAGCAAACCGGAUUAGAUACCCGGGUAGUCCCAGCUGUAAACGAUGCGCGUUAGGUGUAUCGGUGACCACGAGUCACCGAGGUGCCGAAGAGAAAUCGUGAAACGUGCCGCCUGGGAAGUACGGUCGCAAGGCUGAAACUUAAAGGAAUUGGCGGGGGAGCAC